GUUGAUCCUGCCAGUAGUCAUAUGCUUGUCUCAAAGACUAAGCCAUGCAUGUGUAAGUGUAAGCGAUUAACGGUGGGACUGCGAAUGGCUCAUUAAAACAGUGAUAGUUGAUGUGAUGGGUGCAGAUGGAUACCCGUAGUAAUUCUAGAGCUAAUACAUGCCACGUGUUUAUUAGAUCUCGUCCCGCUGGGAACAACAGUAAGCGAGAACCGCGUCGGGAGACGCGGGGCAUCAUGCAAGUUUCUGCCCUAUCAGCUUUGGAUGGUAGUGUCUUGGACUACCAUGGCAGUGACGGGUGACGGAGAAUUAGGGUUCGAUUCCGGAGAGGGAGCCUGAGAGACGGCUACCACAUCUAAGGAAGGCAGCAGGCGCGCAAAUCACCCAAUCCUGACUCAGGGAGGUAGUGACCAGAAAUAACGACGACGGGUUUCGAUUCGUCGAUUGCAAUGAGCACAAUGUAAAAUUCUUAGCGAGUACCGACUGGAGGGCAAGUCUGGUGCCAGCAGCCGCGGUAAUUCCAGCUCCAGUAGCGUAUAUUAAAGUUGUUGCAGUUAAAAAGCUCGUAGUUGGACGUCUCUGCGACACGCAGCUCCGCCACGCAACUGGGCACGCUCUUAACUGAGCGGCCGAGACCUGCGGGCCCUUUACCUUGAGGAAACUAGAGUGUUUAAGGCAGGCUCCGCCUGAAUACUGCAGCUGGGAAUAAUGCGCACGACUGUCUUGGCGAGGCAGCUCCACACUUUUAAUAGGAACAGUUGGGGGCAUUCGUACUCAGCAGUCAGAGGUGAAAUUCUUGGAUUUGCUGAAGACGGACUAGUGCGAAAGCAUUUGCCAAGGAUGUUUUCAUUAAUCAAGAACGAAAGUUAAGGGAUCCAAGACGAUCAGAUACCGUCCUAGUCUUAACCAUAAACGAUGCCGACUAGGGAUCGGGAGAGACGUACACACUCUCUCGGCACCUCACGAGAAAUCCAAGUCUUUGGGUUCUGGGGGGAGUAUGGUCGCAAGACUGAAACUUAAAGGAAUUGACGGAAGGGCACCACAAGGAGUGGAGCCUGCGGCUUAAUUUGACCCAACACGGGGAAACUUACCAGGUCCAGACAUAGUGAGGAUUGACAGAUUGACAGCUCUUUCUUGAUCCUAUGGGUGGUGGUGCAUGGCCGUUCCUAGUUGGUGGAGUGAUCUGUCUGGUUAAUUCCGAUAACGAACGAGACCUCAGCCUGCUAACUAGAUCUUCUUAGAGGGACUUCCUGCUCGCACAGGAGGAAGUGAGGCAAUAACAGGUCUGUGA
rnacentral:rRNA from 1 species